GAUGAAGAACGUAGCGAAAUGCGAUAAGUAGUGUGAAUUGCAGAAUUCAGUGAAUCAUGGAAUCUUUGAACGCACAUUGCGCCCUUUGGUAUUCCAAAGGGCAUGCCUGUUCGAGCGUCAUUUGUACCCUCAAGCUUUGCUUGGUGUUGGGCGUCUUGUCUCUAGCUUUGCUGGAGACUCGCCUUAAAGUAAUUGGCAGCCGGCCUACUGGUUUCGGAGCGCAGCACAAGUCGCACUCUCUAUCAGCAAAGGUCUAGCAUCCAUUAAGCCUUUUUUUCAACUUUUGACCUCGGAUCAGGUAGGGAUACCCGCUGAACUUAAGCAUAUCAAUAAGCGGAGGA
rnacentral:misc_RNA from 1 species